UGGGGAAUAUUGCACAAUGGGGGGAACCCUGAUGCAGCGACGCCGCGUGAGUGAAGAAGUAUUUCGGUAUGUAAAGCUCUAUCAGCAGGGAAGAAAGAAAUGACGGUACCUGACUAAGAAGCACCGGCUAAAUACGUGCCAGCAGCCGCGGUAAUACGUAUGGUGCAAGCGUUAUCCGGAUUUACUGGGUGUAAAGGGAGCGCAGGCGGCGCGCUAAGUCUGAUGUGAAAGCCCGGGGCUCAACUCCGGGACUGCAUUGGAAACUGGCGGGCUGGAGUGCCGGAGAGGUAAGCGGAAUUCCUAGUGUAGCGGUGAAAUGCGUAGAUAUUAGGAGGAACACCAGUGGCGAAGGCGGCUUACUGGACGGUGACUGACGCUGAGGCUCGAAAGCGUGGGGAGCAAACAGG
rnacentral:rRNA from 1 species